GCUCAUUUCUUUCUUCUUCUCUCUAUACGUUGGUGUUCUAACCAAUAAUCAUUCAAUCGCUAUUACGAUUCAUUUUCCGACCGAUCAAUAUAUCCAAUGGAUGUUUAAGUGCCGCCCACAUUAGGGUUAUACUUUGUCGUUCGUCGUUAAUUCGAUGAAUGUUUAAGUAUCGCACUUUGUCGUUCGUUGUGAGAAUUUGAUCUCGUGAGUUAUCGUAAAAGCUGUAUUGAUCAUUAACCCGGUUUUUGUGAAAUUCGUUAAGGUUCGAAUCUCAUGACUACCGUUAAGGUUUGAUUUGGGUUUUACACCAAUACGUAUUCCAUUCUGUUAAACUGUGUAUUUAACUACCAAAAAUACUCCCAACUACACCCUUACAAUCAAACAAACUAUUAAAUCAUCAGAAGAUCCAGAAUAAUAAAGUGCAUGCUUAAUUAUCGGAAGAAGUAGAAUCAAGAAGUUUGUUAACUCAAUCCUGCAUGCUGAUUUGUAAUUACAGUAGAUUGGAGUAAGGAUUGGAUCCGACACUGAAGGACUUCAAGAAGUGGCUUAUGUUAUUAAUUAAAUCAAAUUAAGAAAUAUUGUUUUUACUAAAAGCUACCUUUGUAAAACAUGGAAUUUAUUCCAUCUAUUUAAAUAAAAAUCUUGUGU
rnacentral:lncRNA from 1 species